rnacentral:lncRNA from 1 species
CUUCUCUCACCCUAGUCCAUAUAGAUGCUUAGUUCUUCAUGGACAUUGUCUCUAAUGUUUUUUUAAUAUAUUUUGGCUUAGACAUAAAAAACUCUGUGCCGCCUGUCGCACAAUUUUUUUGUCAUCCGGGGAAACCCUGUUUUCCAUUAAUUUCUUGAUGUAUGGUUAACAUGCAGUCUUCUAGACGAAGAUGGAUUUAGGCUGUGUGGUUCCAUAGUAUGCAUUGCACUCCCUCUAAGCAUGAAUAUCUAAACAUGCAUGAUGUAUAUUGCUCAGUCAUGUUUUUUUCCUUUAUAUUUCCAGGAUAUAUACAUAUGUAUUGCAUUAGAAUAUAACUUCUACUUUUGUACUAUUAUUUUUCUUCCAGGUCAAUGUGGUAGAACACCGUGUAUAUCAAAUAUCUUCAGGUUUCAGGAUUUAAAUGUCCUUUGUUUUGUGUACCAGGUGGUUACCUAAGUUUUUUUUUGCUUAUUAUGUUAGAUCAUGAACAAAUUAAGACAUAUAUAUUAAUCUAGCAAUUGAUAGCAUUUCUUCUCAUAUUGUUGAUUCUCUUACAGAUCUACCACCUCAAAUGGUGCUGACAAAGAUGCAAAGCACUCUGCAGUAGAGUUUAAAUACCAGGUUUUAAAGUGAACAUUUGCCCUCAUGAAGCCCCCACUUUGUGGCCAUUGCAGUUGUGGUUAAGGAGGAUUCCCGCCAGCGCCAUCUCACUGCUGGCCUGUGUAAUCAAUUUAUGUUUCCAACCUUUUUGUUUAUAGUAAGUAGAACAUCGCCUAGAAAUAAAGUAAGGUUGUUUCUGCCAUGCCUAUGUGGCCACUGAAGCAUAUCACUUUUUGUUUCAUGUGCACCAUAGUCUAGAUUUAGUUUAGUGAUAUCCCAACCCUUUUGUUCUUGCUCCCAAGAACAAGACAUGUAUUGACCUUAGACUAUCGUAAUCAUCUAUGUGCCACACAUCCUUUGGUGGCUGUGUAUUCUAAAUGAAAACAAGCACUUCCUAAUAUUGAUGUAUCCCCUCAGUUGUAUUGGUACUACUACAUAUUUGUCAUAACACUACCAAUCAUAUAUAGUAAAUUCAAAGGUGUCUUUAUGAUGCAUCUCUACCUAUGUGCCUUGCUUGACAAAAGCAAUUUACUUACAUAGUAUGCUAUUAUCAAGUGACCUCAUUACUUGUAGUCUAUCAUGGUACCAAGUAUCUAUUAAGUAUCGGGCAUAUAUACAUGGUUUGAAUACUUGGCUCGCUCUCGCUUUUUGCGCUAUGGGCGCUCUGUUCUUGAUCAUGAAUCUUUACGUGUCU